rnacentral:lncRNA from 10 species
GUGGGAAGGAAGGGAGCGGAAAGGCCGAGCGCCACCCGCCCCGGGAGUCUCCAGAGCAGCGCGCGGGGCAGACCUCCUCGGGUCCUCCGGCGCUUCGGUCUCCGGAGACGCCCGGCCUCCUGAAGGGUUCGGCUUGUCCUCCUCUGGCGCUCAGCUCCCUCUGGCGGCCGGGCUGGCAGGACCUCAGCGCCCAGCCCUUCCGUCUUGUUACGUCCAGGGUCUCACUCUGUGUCUCAGGCUGGAGUACAGUGGUGCAAUUGUAGAUGGCUGCAGCCCUCGACCUCCUGGGCUCAAGUGAUCCUCCUGCCUUAGCCUCUCGAGUAGCUGGGAGUACAGAUGCACACCACCACACCCAGCCUAGAAUGAAGAAACCUGCAGUUGGGAAGCAUGAAUUUACCACCUAUUAAGAAUUGUGGCUUGCAUUGUAAGAGGAGCCUGUGAAUUCAGAGGCAAGUCUGCUGAGGACCGAAUGUUCCUGUCCAUAAAAACAGAAGUCUGGCCUGGGCUCCUCUCUUGGGUGAAUUUGCAAUGCCAGAUCCUCUCUAUCAGUUUGGUUUUGUUUCUUGUAUCUCUGGGAAGGCAGGCAGACAGCACGGUCACCUGUGAAUGCAGCUACAAUUGGCUUAGCUGCCUCACUGAUAAAUGUGCCCCCAGUAAGCUACAAAGGGAUUACCAGCGUUCUCAGCAGCUAAAGGAACUGGUGAAGAUUUCCCCAGCAAAAAGUAGAAGCUCAGUGUUUCAUAGAUGAAGACUGGGGAGAUUGCAAAAGACCCAUCCAGAGUCUCACUUUGUCGCCCAGGCUGGAGUACAGUGGUGCGAUCUUGGCUCUCUGCAACCUCUGCCUCCCAGGUUCAAGUAAUUCUCCUGCCUCAGCCUCCCGAGUAGCUGGUACUACAGGCACACAUUUGUAGAGAUGGUGUUUCCCCAUGUCAUCCAGGCUGGUCUGGAACUCCUGGGAUCAAGUAAUCCACCCGCCUCGGCCUCCCAAAGUGCUGGGAUUACAGACGUGAGCCACCACGCCCUGCCAAUAAAAAGAUUAUCUCCAGAUGCUGGAAUGACCAGUAAUUUAUUUUCUUCCUUUUUUUUUGUCUGCACUUUCUACCAUAAUCAUAUGUUAGCUUCUUACUAAGAAGAAAAGUCAAUGUUAUUUCCCUGAAAAAGUAAUGUUGUUUGGUUAUUAAACAAAUUUAAUUUUCUAAACAAGAGUACGACAGGUAAACUGCCUACCUUAAAAGCAAACGAACACAAAUAAAUAAACUAACCAUCUUCCACUUCAGUCUCUGUCCUUUCACCAGAGUUGCUGAUCAGCCCAGAAUGGACUGAUUUGAAUUUGCUUAGUUGUUCAUUCAUUCAUUUAUUUAACAAGUAUUUAUUAAGCACUUGCUCUGUAGAAAGCACUGUGCUGGUAUUGGAAUACUGGCUUAUGUAAGUGUGAUAGUAAUGGGAUUCUGACUUAGGCCUGACUCCUGGGCCGUAAUGUUUGGAUACUAUGUAUACAUCUAACUAUAAAACGAG